ACAUUGUGAAUGUUCUCACAUUUAUCAUCGUUAUGGCUCUCAAUAUUCUUCGAGAUACGCCAAACAGGCUUCAUGGCUCUCAAACAUUUUCUCACCUCAUUUUCUGGCAUUUUGUUGGCAUGGUUGCUUGCCUUCUCUCUCUAAAUCUACUUCUUCUCCCCAGUAUCACCGGAUUCACUUCACCUCCCUCCACCUUCCCUCCUUCCCAAGAACAACAUAUUAAAGGUUUCAUAAUCAUUUCGUUUUCAUUUUAAGUUCUCAAACAAAAAGCUCAUGGCCCAUUUCAUAACCAUUUUUUUUUACAGUUUUCAUUUUCAUAAAACCGAAAAUGAAAUAGUUAGCCAGCUCAAAGCCCGUUCCAUAAAUGAUUGGUAACAAAAAACUGAAAUCCUUAAAGAAGCUUGUGGUAUGCUCUUAGGAUGGGUAGCUUCCCCUCCCCCUAAACAUUUUUCUGAUUAAGAAAAAAAAAAAAACUGAAAACCGAAAAUGAAAUGGUUAGCAGACAGGUUGUGAGAUUUCCGUUUUAAGUACUUUAACUUGAAAUUCUGGUGUUUCUUUCUUUCUAAUUUUUAUUAAGUUUUUGGGUUUGUGUAGAAAGUGAUUAAACUUGGGGAUGGAGUGCUUCUGAAACCAGAUAUUGAUGUGGAUAAGGAAGGCACACUCUAUACAGCUACAAGAGAUGGUUGGAUCAUAAGGCUUCACACAAAAGGGAGUUGGGAAAACUGGAAGAAGGUGAAUAGUGAUACAGUUUUUGGAAUUACAUUCACAAAAGAUGGUGAUCUUGUUACAUGUGAUACUGAUCAAGAGGGUUUGCUGAAGCCUGAAGGUUACUGAAAAUGGUGUCAAGGGUUUCACAUGUUAAUGGGUCCAAAAUAAGGUAAAAACUAGAUGAACAAGUAAGCAGUGGUUCGAUACAACUUUGGAAAAUGACUGGAGGCGCCUGCAAUAUUUACCAAGACGAAGAUUUACCUCCAGGUAAAAACUAGAUGAACAAGUAAGCAGUGGUUCGAUACAACUGUGGAAAAUGACUGGAGAGAGAGAGAGAGAGAGAGCAAUAUGUUCACUUGGAAAGAAAACAUCCAUAUGCAAGCCAUGCCAAAUACAAUUAUGAUGUGACACCACCAGAACAAUACAAAUAAGGUCCUCUUGUUACAUAUUAAUUGCAAGGUGUGGCAGUUGCAUCGUGACUAAAAGAAUGAUUUACAUGGAAUAAAUUUGUUGUUAUGUAAAUAUUUUAAUCAAUAAUGUGGUGUUAUGUGUAAUUUUUUUUUAAUAAUAAUGAUUUAUUAUUGAAUUAAA